AAUUAGGACUUUUAAGCAUAUGCACGUGGGUUGUCAUUAAAUAAAGUACCCGGUCUUUUUGCUCCCAAAAAGGAGGAACUUUAACUUUUGAACCAAAUUUUGAAUUUUAGCAAACUAUUUCAAAAAAAUUCACUUUUUCAUUUAAAGGAGACUUUUGGGGGUAUUUUCCAACAAAAAAAGAGUAGAACCCAUUGAAGACAAGAGUAAGGUACAACAAAGGCCAUUUCUGUCCACCACCCUUCUCACAAAGCCGUAUGUGGAUGUUAUCGCUCAUACAACUCCUAGCCAGCAAGCAGUUAGCCUUCUUCUACAAAGAAUGGAAGUGUGGAUGAAUCAACAUUAAUUCACUUGGGUGAGACAGAAGAGAGUGGAAUUUCGUGUGUAGGGAUGAAAUCCGCAAAUCUACGAAGGAGCGCCAAAAGCGAAGGCAGCUCUCUGGGUCCCUACCGAUGCUGGGGUGCGAAAGCAUGGGGAGAUAACAUGAUUAGAUACCCUGGCAGUCCAUAUUGUAAACGAUGAGUGUUCGCCCUUGGUCUACACGGAUCAGGGGUCCAGCUAACGCGUGAAACACUACGCCUGGGGAGUACAGUCGAAAGACCGAAACUCAAAAGAAUUGACGGGGGCUUGCACAAGCGGUGGAGUAAUC
rnacentral:rRNA from 1 species